rnacentral:rRNA from 1 species
GACGAACGCUGGCGGCGGGCUUAACACAUGCAAGUCGAACGGAAAGGCCCUGCUUUGGUGGGGUGCUCGAGGGGCGAACGGGUGAGAAACACGUGAGUACCCUGCCCUUGACUUUGGGAUAACUUAAGGAAACAGGGGCUAAUACCGGAUAGGAGCUCCUGCUGCAUGGUGGGGGUUGGAAAGUUUCGGCGGUUGGGGGUGGACUCGCGGCUUAUCCGCUUGGUGGUGGGGUAGUGGCUUACCAAGGCUUUGACGGGUAGCAGGCCUGAGAGGGUGACCGGCUACGUUGGGCCUGAGAUGCGGCACAGACUCGUAUGGGAGGCAGCGGAGGGGAGUAGUGCACUAGGGAAGGGAGGCUGAUGUAGCAACGCCGCGUGCGGGAUGACGGCAUUCGGGUUGUAAACCGCUGUCGCCUGAGACGAGGCGUGAGUGACGGUAAUAGGAAAAGAAGCACCGGCUAACUACGUG